CCCCCCCCCCCUUCCCCGGCCGCCCCCUCGGAUUUUAGGGCGGUGAAGGGAAGGGGCGGCGUUGCGGGGAGAGCCGCACGGCACGGGCGAUGCCGCUGUGCCUGGGGAGCAAACAAACAAAGCGAGGGGCUUCGAGCAUCGACGCGGGGGAGAGGUGGUGACGGAGGGAGGGGCGCCCCCCCCACACCCCCACACCCCGCAGCCCCUUCCCCCUCUCGGCUCAGGCACACGAAGCUCACGAGAGACGCAGGGAGCGGGGCCGGGUUGGGGGGGCGGGCGGGGGGGUGGGGGGAUGCCGAGCUGAAGUCCUGCACCGAGAUGGGAAUGGACACAGAAGGGAACGCCGGAGAGGGCCGGGGCGGCCGUCGGACCCCGCACGGGGCGGGGCUGCUCCGCUGUGCUGCGUCCCGGGGCGGUGUUCCGGGAGCCCUCCGCUCUCGUUCCGUUCUUUAAAGAGAAACCCAAAAAACCCAAACAAACAAAACCAACCCAAACCGGCCUCCCCCCCCCCCCCCGCCCCUUCCCCCCCCGCCCCGCCAUUGUUAUUGGCAAACCGGAUCCUCUCACGGCGGGAAUAGAAAAGCGAGCAGGUCAGCUGCCCCCCUCCCCCACCAUAAAAACACGGCUGGGCACGAGCUGUGCUGGGGGCACGGGUAGCACCGAACGGGGCUUCUCCAGCGUUAAAAAGCGAUAUGGUGUUGCGGUGGUACAGUGGGGCCAUAUCCCGCCGGCUCUCGGCUGCUCUGCACCCAGAGAGUGGAUGGAUGGAUGGGUGGAUGGAUGGAUGGAUGGAUGGAUGGAUACAUGGAUGGAUAGGUAGAUGGAUGGAAAGGAUGCGGGGAAGGAAGGAAGGAUGGAUAGAUGGAUGGAAAGGAUGGAGGGAAGGAAGGAAGGAAAGAGAGAAAGACAGAAGGAAGGAAGGAAAGAGAGAAAAGGAAGGAAGGAAAGAGAGAAAAGGAAGGAAGGAAAGAAAGAGAGAAAGAAAAGGAAAGAAGGAAAGAGAAAGAAAAGGAAAGAAGGAAAGAGAAAGAAAAGGAAGGAAGGAAAGAGAAAGAAAAGGAAGGAAGGAAAGAGAAAGAAAAGGAAGGAAGGAAAGAGAGAAAGAAAAGGAAGGAAGGAAGGAAGGAAGGAAGGAAGGAAGGAGAGAAAGAAGGAAGGAAGGAAAGAAGGAAAAGGUAGCACUGUCUGCAGUGUAGGGUUGUUAGAGAAGGUUCCCCCACUGCUGCCACCAAACAGUUAAAACGUUCCAAGCCCUGUCCGAAAUGCAGUGUCGCGCUGUUGCUCUCUGCCUGGGCCGAGGUUUCAUCCUCCCCCCGCCCCGCCCCGCAGCCCUCAGCCCUCAGCCCCGCUCCAUCCAUGCCCGCUGACUGCCGGCCCCCGCACAGCCCGGGCUGCGGGCACGGAGGGCGGACAAACCGUUUCCUUUCCCCGGAACGUUUUGGAGGAGGAGGAGGGCCUGGAGGUGCCCCGGAGGUGAGGGAGAGGCCGGGGCUGUGCCUCCGCGCUGCGUGUGGACAACGCUCUGCAGGAGCCGGGACUUCACCGAGAGAGUAAUGCAGAAAGUGCGGUUGCAUCUCGGAUCGGAGAGGAACCCCGAAAGGCUCAGAGAAAAACCCCAAUGAAAUAUUGGUUUGGAGAAGGAAAAAAAAAAAAGAAAAAAGAGAAUGUCCAUACAAAUAUCUGUCUACCUUCUGGAUUUACCCCUCGUUCUCCUUUCUUCCUUCUCUUUAUUCUUUCCUUCCUUCUUUUCUUUCUUUUUUUUCUCCCCCUUUCUUUUAUUUCUUUCUUUCCUUUAUUUUUUUCUCUCUUCCCUUUACUUUACCUCUCCCUUCCUUUCCUUCCUUUCCUUCCUUUCCUUCCUUUCCUUCCUUUCCUUCCUUUCCUUCCUUUCCUUCCUUUCCUUCCUUUCCUUCCUUUCCUUCCUUCCCUUCCUUCCCUUCCUUCCCUUCCUUCCCUUCCUUCCCUUCCUUCCCUUCCUUCCCUUCCUUCCCUUCCUUCCCUUCCUUUCCUUCCUUUCCUUCCUUUCCUUCCUUUCCUUCCUUUCCUUCCUUCCUCUCUUCCCGUUCCUGUUCCCUCCCUGUUUCCCUUUUCACCCCUCUCCCUUCUCCCAUCCCUCCCUUCUCCCAUCCCUCCCUUCCCUCCUGCCCCGUCCCCUCUCUCUCCUCCGGGGCACACAGGGACUAUCGCAGCCCGGCCGCGCUCCGUUCCCCUCCCGGUGCCGCACCCCCAGGACGCAGCGGGGCCGUUCCAAGUUCAAAGUCUCACGGCCGUCCCCCGAGAGUCUCUUUACCCCUCCCCGCACCGCGGCCCCUUUUCCCCGGGCGCCGGAGAGCCCCUCUCCGGGUAGAAUGUGAUUCCGGAGCCGGGCCGGAGCUCUCCUCCGCGGACAGAACUUCAGGUCUGAUUUGAAUUUGAAUUUUUAUUAUUAUUAUUAUUUUUUCCCAGCAGGUUUCUGGCCGCUCCCGACCCGCAGAUCCCUGCCGGGAGCACACUCCUUCUGUAAGCGUUCCGAAUUUCUCUUUAAAACAGCCCCUCCCGUUGCCGGCUGCUAACGUGGAGACAGCUGGGGCGGGGGCACCGUUCAGUGCCUCGCGUACCCCCGCCGUGCCCCCUCUCACCCCUACCUCUGCCCACGGGGCUGCGGCGGGGCCGGACAGCCGCAGCCGGGCCGGGCCGGAGAGGGGAGAGCCGGGCCGGGAGAAGCACUGCAGCGCCGUCCGCGCCGCAGCCGCCAUCCGCCCGCCGCUCUCACGGAGAGAUACGGAGCUGCGGUCGGCUUUGAUGGGGCCGAGCUCCGCACUCCGGGGCCGUCCGACCUCUGACCCGCGAAGCCCACAUGUGCGGUGCUGCAGCUCCCUCUGUGAAACGCACCUCGGGACAGCAGCUCUUUGUCGGCUCCAACGGCAGCGCCAUGUGAAAAGGGAAAAGGGAAAUCGUGAAAAUCUCAGCCAAAGCCGCAACUUUUAAACGCCUCUUUUUUUUUCCCCCCCUCAAACCCGCUCUCGAGGCAGGAAGGAGCACCACUCUCUCACGCCAAACGUAUUUAUCGCUGUAUUUAUAGACCUAUAUAUGCAUGCGCGUGUGUAUAGGUAUAAAGUUGCCGCUGCCAGGCGAAGGGCAGCGCCCGCGGCCGCGCACUUUGCGCGCACUUUGCGCCCCCGGCCCCGCGGCACAGCGCUGGCGCAGCCCCCGCAGGAGCGCAUCCGGCUCAGAGCCGCAGCGAUGGGGGCACCGGGCGGCCGCUCUCGGAGCGGGGGUGGCCGCGGUCCGCGCCGGUGGCGGAGGAGCAGCGCGGCGACAGCGCGCGAUGGGCGCUGUAAUACAAUUUCUGCUGUCAUUCAUAAAUAACAAUGCCAUAUGGUCCCCAUAUUGCGGGUACAAGAAAAGCCGUCAAAGUGUCACCGUUUGAUUUAUCUCAACAG
ensembl:lncRNA